GGGCACUUGGCACAGUUGGUAGCGCGCACGCUUCGCAUUCCAAGGCUGCGUGAGGUCAGGAGUUCGACUCUCCUAGUGUCCA